rnacentral:lncRNA from 1 species
UAUGUAGCCUGAAUAAAUACAACAAGAAACAUUACUGAAAUACAACUCAUUGCUAAUACAUGGAAAUAACUUGCUUGCAUUGGGGACAUUUACGUGUAUCAGAACACUGGCAUUCUGAUGGCUAAUUUUAGCUGGAUCUUUAAUGGGUGCUCUGGAACAUAUACGGUCUAUUUGCUGAACGCCUGCGUUCUCUCCUAGAACGCGUGUGUUCUGCUGUGUUCUAUAAUGUUAUAUGCGAGAACACGUGUUCCAUUAAUAGAACAUCGGUGUUCUGUUUUUCUAACAAGCAUUCAAAGCUGUCCAUGCUCUGUGAUUCACAUCCGUUAUGUGAGAAACUGGCGUGACGUCGCAUGUAUUUGGCGCUACAAUUUCCUAUGAUCUGAGGUGUGUCUGUGGUUCUAUAUGAAUCGCCUGAAAGUGCGAAGCGGGCUACAUGCAACAAAUCUCUGAACAUCUAAAUUUGGGAUCCGAGGGCAUGAUCAGCAAGCAUCGACAAUGCAUCGAAAUCAGCAGAGAGUAGUGGUGCAUUGCAGAUAAUCAGUACCAUCCAUGGAAACUAUUGCACAGGGCACACGUCUACACAAAGGAGGAAAAGACACAAGGUUUUGCAGAUCAAAUAAGAAGGAUGUUGGGGAGUCAUAUUUGACAUGAAGUUUCCUGAAGCCUGCGAUGGUCAUGUCGCUGUUACGAACAUCGUCCUUUGGGGAUAUUUACCCACAAGAAACAUCUGCGAAGUACAUGCGCUUCGUGAAAGACUUGAGUAUGGAAGUAUGCUUCAAUUUGCUACACGACAGUUUGUAAUGUUUCAUGAAGAACUCUGACUCAUAAGUGACUUGAAUAUCCAUGAUCAUCCCAAACAAAUAUAAUAAAGAAUUCAUGGUUGCAGUUCAGAAUUUCGUCCGUGUGAUUUUAUGCCAGAGAAUAUGCAUGGGUGUAUGGUGUAAAUUCUUACACCUUGAAAAACAUCGGGUAAAUUGUAUUCGACACACACGAUGAGUUGUCGUUUCAGUAAUGUGGAAGUACGUGUCCGAGAACGUGUAGUGUUCUGAAUCUCGGUCCAGAACACUUUACAGGCGUUCUAAAAGCGUUACAUCGUCAGAACACGUUGAAGCGUUCUAAAUAUGUUUGUAGAACACUCCUGUUCUGGGUCGAGAACAUCAACGUUCAGAAUAUUUUCAGAACACAUGGACGCGUUCUAAAAGUGUUACAUCCAUGUGUUCUGUCUAGUGUUCAGAAGUGGAACACUUGG